CUCCCGCCGAUGCCCAGAGACUGCGGCUGGGAGCCAGCCCGCCCCAGAUAAAGUUCAUGAAUCAUGUAGCAGCAGGGUUUCCGGGAUCAUGGAAAAUCACGACGCACGUCUGGCACCAGGCUUCCCCCUUAACGGCCCUGUUCCGGCACCAGCGACUGAGGUGGUUCUCCGGGUCCGCUGGGACCUUUGCCUGGGGGGAAACACACAGCCUCUCCCAGGUGUCCUCCCAGCGGGGAGCCGCCUCUCCCGUGUCACCCGAGGACCCCGGACCUCACGCCCCCCUGGGGACUCGCCCAUCCCACGGAGCGCCUCCAGGGUUCCAGCAGCCAUUUUGAACCAUGAGGCACUUUGACUACGAAAGCCUACAUUUUAAUGAAGAAAAGAAAAUGUAUGGAGUAUAGGCCUCCAUGGCCAUGAAGCCACACUACCAGUCCUGAUCUCUUACCUCCGGACUUUCAUGCACAAGAAAAAUAAACACCUAUCAUAUUUGA